GGCGAGGGGUCCUAGCGUUGUUCGGAAUCACUGGGCGUAAAGCGUAUGUAGGCGGCCUUUUAAGUCGAUUGUGAAAUCCCAUGGCUUAACCAUGGAAUUGCAUUCGAAACUGAAGGGCUUGAGUGUGGGAGAGAUUGGUAGAAUACCUGGUGUAGUGGUGAAAUGCGCAGAUAUCGGGAGGAACACCAGCGGCGAAGGCGGCACUCUGGGCUGGAACUGACGCUGAGGAGCGAAAGCGUGGGUAGCAAACAGG
rnacentral:rRNA from 1 species